CAGAUACAACAUUUACAAUAUUUUUUAUUGCAUGCGGUAUGUUAUUUUAUGUGGUAUGUUAUUUUAUGUGGUAUGUUUAUUAAUAAGUCUAUAGUUAGGAGACCGUAGGUCUACUUUGUUAUGUCGCAAUAAUCUAAAUUUUAUAUGUUCAGAUUAGGUGCUAAUGUACUUAAUGAUGUAUGUAAUUAGGUAAAAUAAUUCAUCUUAGUAGCAAACAAGGAGGAGAAGACGUGAUUGAAGAAAUUGUGUUUCCAUUUUGUUAGCAGGAAGAAAAAUCCGUGUGUAAUAUUGAUGUUAAUGUGAUAACAGGUUGACUCCGUUCAUAUAGUACUGACGACGGGUAUUUAUUGGAACUAUUUUGACGCUUAAUUGCAUUCGCAAGCACAUCCAUAUUGGAGCUAAGGUUAUGGGUGAAGUGCCAGUGCUUUUGCAGGGGCCCCAUGACGCCGGCCACCGUUGCCACCUAUUUUUGAAACCAAAUACUAAGCAUGAUUAUCGGCCUUUCAGACUUCGAACCAUAAAGAAAACAUGGCCAAUACACAAUCAUUUCCUUGCUCACCUUGACGCUUAUGGACUACAAGGUUUUGCUAGGCUCACAUCAUGCGACGACCAAGUACGUUCGGACCCAUCCCUUUUGACAUCCCUCGUUGACCGGUGGAGACCUGAAACCCACACCUUUCACUUUCGUUUUGGGGAGCUUGCACCUACACUGAAAGAUGUUUCUAUGAUCACUGCUCUACCAAUUAGAGGUGAACCGAUAGUCUCUCCACGAGUGUCUCCAUCUUGAGCAUUAGAUAUAGCAGCCCGUCUUGGGAUGGAAAUGCCAGAAUCACAACGUUCUGGUAACCCUCGGGGCAUCCCACUCGUCUGGCUUCAUGAUAACUUUCUUAAUUUAUCUAGCUUCGCCAAUGAGGAGACGAGAAAAAGACAUCUGUUUGCGUAUUUGUUGUGGCUCCUCGGGAAUCUAUUUUCAAAUUCACAUGGGGACGUUGUUGUCCCUGGUCUCAUCUACAUUGCAGAGAAUAUGAUAGAUGAACCUUUACCUGAGCAGCCAAAAUACAGCUUCGGUUCUGCCAUGCUAUCUCAUACAUACAGAGGCUUGUGUGAUGCCACACAAAAAACCUCUUUCGCACAAAAAGCUCCAUUACUUUGUGUCGCCUAUGAGUUUCUACAGUUGUGGUCCUGGGAAUACCUCCCUGUAGGACGACCUCGUAUAGUACAACCCAUAUACCCAUACGACUUUGGCGAGGGUGCUAGCGCAACUAUGGCCACCAGGUGGACAAAGGCACGGAAACGUUGGUCUCCAGAUAUUGCGAAAAAUUGUUACCCUUUGUACCACCAGCAGUUUGAGAUACUUGAUGAGGCAGAAGUCACAGAACCCGUGGACUCAGGACCAGCUAAAAAUGGUCUUUGAUGCUCGACACUUCACACCGGGCAUGUUGACCGAUAGUGCAUUCUGGCUGACUCGCUGCAACUUAUUGUUCCUGUGGUGUGUUGAACCUUACAACCCAGAGCGUGUAAUGAGACAGUUCGGUCUCUAUCAAGAAAUUCCACCACCUUUUCCCAGACGUAUCGACGAGGAAACACAUAAGCUAACAAAUAUGGGCAGGGGUUGGAGUUUAUACGAUUGGAGGGAAGAGAACAGUGAAUGUGUACACAAGUAGGAAAAUGAAGCGCUAGCAGAUAUAGUGCGUCAACUUAGGUAUAUUUUAUGUACAUUAUUUUUUUACGAUGAUCAUACGAUGCGUGAAGAUGCUUUGCUUUCAUCACAACGGUUUAUGUAAUUAUUUAAUUUAGCAGACCGUACGAUGGAAGUACAGAUCAAGCGUACAAGAAGUGGUACUGCAUGAACACACGUGCUAGCCUGGCCAGUCAGCCAGCUACUAUACCAACACAUCUCACACAAGAGGAGCAGGCGCGGAGACAUGUUGAGCUGCAUGCAGCUUACUAUCGUGACCACCUGCUUGAAAAUGUCAACGAAGUAGGGCAGAUGGCUACGGAUAGCAUGCCGUCCCAAGGCCCAUAUCGCAAGACAUUCCAGAAACUUUUGCAACAAUUCGUGGCAAAGAAGUUCAGAUGCGGUAGAGGCGACGACGUUGCCACUGGAGCAUACAUGCCGGUAGCGAGGUCAGCCAGACCGAGUGCGGCACCGUCGUCCAGACCGAGCGAGGCGCGUACGAGCCAUGAGCAAUGGGGGGAAGGGUCCGAGUACUAGAACGACAUUGCCAUGACAUGACUCAUCUCUGCCGCUGCAUCGCUCUUCUUCGAUGCAGCUUCGUCAGGGGAAGACAUCUCAGGACCAUGGCACGGGCUUGGAUUCGAUGCCCGAGCAGUUUCUUUCCCCUAACCCAUAUGCGUACACAGGAUAUGAUGCAUACACCCAAGGUGAGGGAUCUCAGCCGUAUCUCUUCACGCGAGGGAUCCCCAUGCCCGAGGAGACUCGUGUACCAGAUUUAAACCAGCACCACGUACCAACACCGCAGGACUGCCACCCCAGGAGGCAAACUUGCAGUCUUCAUUUUCCUCGGCCUAAUGCUUUGAUCCGAACAAGGCAAACUCAUAUCGACUGAAAAAAAUGUGUACACACUUUGCGCACUGGCGAUUUCUAGGAUGGCUGGACGAGAGCCUCGGUGUCUUCUUUUAUAGGCUCAGACGAUUAAUGAUGGCGAGAAAAUAAGCGAGAACAGAGGAAA